AUUCUCCUGCCUCGGCCUCCCAAAGUGCUGGGAAUACAGGUUGGACUCCAUGUCUUGGCCGUUGUGAAUGAUGCUGUGAUGACCGUGGGAGUGCAGAUACCGCUUGAGAGUGUUGCCCGGGCAGCCGUGGCGUCAGCCUAGCUCACAG